rnacentral:rRNA from 1 species
GAUGAACGCUGGCGGCGUGCUUAACACAUGCAAGUCGAACGGAAAGGCUCCUGCUUGCAGGGGUACUCGAGUGGCGAACGGGUGAGUAACACGGGGGUGAUCUGCCCUGCACUUCGGGAUAAGCCUGGGAAACUGGGUCUAAUACCGGAUAGGACCACAUUUUGGAUGGUGUGGUGGAAAGUUUUUCGGUGUGGGAUGAGCUCGCGGCCUAUCAGCUUGUUGGUGGGGUAAUGGCCUACCAAGGCGUCGACGGGUAGCCGGCCUGAGAGGGUGUACGGCCACAUUGGGACUGAGAUACGGCCCAGACUCCUACGGGAGGCAGCAGUGGGGAAUAUUGCACAAUGGGCGCAAGCCUGAUGCAGCGACGCCGCGUGGGGGAUGACGGCCUUCGGGUUGUAAACUCCUUUCGCUAGGGAAGAAGCGUUUUUGUGACGGUACCUGGAGAAGAAGCACCGGCUAACUACGUG